UUUGAUUAAUUUGUCCGGAAUAAAAAAUAAUUGUUAAACAGAAAGAACUACCUAGGGCUUAGAAGGAUCAAGUAUUCAUUUUAUUCUCUGAUUCCCUCAAGAUCAGAACUUGGUUCUUUAUCUAUGUGAAUUUUUGAUUAAUUAGAAUUUUGAUUCAUUAUGUGUGUGAAAUUUGGCAUAAUUCGGGUUUGGUUUAGAAUAAGGUCCAUUUUCGAGCUAGGAAUUGGUUUUUGAGUUCAUGCCAUGGUGCUCUUAAUUUUGACUUUACUAUCAACUUAAACCUGAUUGCUUCCUCACGCAUCAAUGUUUCAUGGUGAGUUGUUUAAGGUUCUUUAUAUUUAAUUGCCUUUUCAAAUUUGCAGUUACAAUCUUCUUAAUUUUAACCAAAUGAACUGCGCGGUACUUUCAGCCUUCCAUCUUCCUUUGUGUUAUAAAUUUCUUGCUUUCCCUCAUGUGUGCCUUACCUCUCCACUUUCCUUCAGUUUCAUCUGCAUUAAAGCUUAUUAUUGUUACCCUAAUCUGUAAUACUACAAAACCCCUCUUGAUCGAAAGUGUCUUCUGUCUAAACUCCCAUUCAUUGCUUUACCCCUUAAUAUUCUCUGAUUUUAACUCACCAAAAACCCAGGUAUUAUCUUAAUCGCCUAUUGUUCAUGAGGCGGUAUUCUUCCCACCGGAGGAGGAACCAAGUUUGUUGGGUUCUUUCUUGACAACACUCAUUUUAGGCCGACAAUACAAGUUUGGGAUUGUUAGUUGAUGUUUAUACUCUGAUUUUACACUAUCAAUUGAUGUUAUUUUCCCUGCUCCCGUUCCAUCUUCGAUUUCUUCCUGUUCUAAUUUAUUGCGAUGAAUUAUAUAUAGAGUAUCAAAAGAUUGGACCUUUACGUCCAUAAAAGGUUGGCAUUCUGGAUUGAAAAUUAUUUUCAUCUUUAAUUUAGGUACAUCUGUUUUUUUUUUCAUGGGUUUGAAUUUAGUAAUCUAAUGCAUUUUGUUUAGUUGAUACCAUUAGGAAAUGAAUUUAUGGUUUGUCAAUUUUUGCAUGUUGUGCAGUUCAAAAAGAUCUAUUUGCUUGGAUUUGAAAGUGAAUAAUAUGUGUGCAGUAUUCCUUCUUCGAUGAAACUCUUGGCUGUUACUAUAGUAUUACCUAACAAAAAAAAUAAAUUCUUUAUCAGAAGUCACUCUUCAUUCCUCCAAAUCUAAUUUCUGGCUAACCAUCCAUGCCAAAAAAGUAAGUCUAACUGUUAGUAUGUAAUCUUUUAAUUCUUGGAUUAGGAUCCCAACCCAACGGUGAUGCUUUUUACUACUUAAACUAAGUUUAUGAUGUGAACAAUUUUUUGGAAGAACAUCCAGGAUGACAAGAUGUUCAACUAGAAUCUGUAGCGGGUAAUUAUCCUAUAUGAAAUUAUUUGAUUUUAAUUUUUAGAAGCAAAUUUUUUUUAUUUAGGCUUAUUGAUGAACAAAUGUUAGGAAUAUUAUUAUCCUAUUUAUGAAAAGGUAGUUUUUCUAGGUAUGUGAUUUUUUGUAAUUGUCUAAUGGACUGUUAAGAUACUCUAGGGGUGGCCGAUAAUUUCUCUCUAUCUUCUUCGCUCCUAACAUUUGUUCUCUCUAUCUUCUUCGCUCCAGCAUAUAGGUCCGUGGUUUUUGUAAUGGUUUUAUAAUCUUACUUUUGUUGAUUUAUGGGAAGAUGUUAUUGAUCUGCCAUUUUAAAUGUUCUUUCUGAAUAAUGCGACAAUAAGAAAGAAGCCAAUUUCCUUUAUCUUUGAUCUUGCAAGGCUGUCUCAAUUGUGCUAAGAUUUUUGAAGUUGCUGCAAAGUUGAUGAAAGAGAUGAGCUCAAAAGGUUUUCAAUAUUAUCUCAUUACAUACUCCUCCGUACUCAAGGAUAUCAGGAAAGUUGGCGAGGAAAAUAUACAUACACAUAUCUAACGCUAACUUGGAAAUGGUUCUUUGUCGAUUUGUAUGCCAAUUAGCUAGCGAAGCUUUACUUGCACAUAUAUUCGAGAGUCACUUGAAGCCAAUCAUCUAUAUGGACCUUCUUGCAUAUCGACAAGUGGGGGAUCCUGCACUUGAUGUGGAAAGAACCUACAGAGUGUAAUAGAGUGAAUAAUAAUCUGAUUGUCAGGUCUAAUAUGAAUGAAUAUAAAUUUUAAUUUUUCGUGUCUAAUGGAAGUGAGUAUAAAAUUUGUAGGUUUG